GGCUAUCAAAGACUGAUACUAUUUUUUUUUUUUAUCUUAAAGAAUGUUGGUAACCAAACCAUUUGGGUGACCAUUGGUUUAAAAAAAAUAAAAAAAAAAAAAAUAAUAAUAAUAAUCUCAAAAUACCUUCUUUUAUGUUCCCGAGAUGCCAAAAACCAGUAGAGGUUUGAAACGACGUGAGGGUGAGUAAAUGAUGACAGAAUUAAAAUUUUUGAGUGAACCAUCCCUUUAAAGAAAACCAUAUCAGUUUGGCUAUAAAGGGUGGGAUUCAAUCUGCAUAUUCAGAGACUUCAUUAAUGCCAAAGUUAUUCUGUGAUAAAUGAUAAUGAAGCUGAAAUGAGAUUUCAUAAUUAUGUCUUACUGCUGUGAUAAAGACCCAGUCUUGUUCUCCUGUCACAGUGGAACGGGGAGAAUGAUGCCAUCUCGCAAAGAUCCAAAACCAAGGUCACAGUGUCUGAAUGGCCUUUGUCUCCAAAACCGGGUGUCAUAUUUACAGAAAUAGCUUCAAGGUUCCCCUCCAUUUCAUACAUUACUCAGCAAGACAGCUAGACUGCCUGCAUCAGCAUCAAAUUGUCCUGCCAACCACCACUGAGCCGAGACACCUGCUUCACCCAUCCUUCAUCUCCACUGUUAUUAAAAUACAUAUAUUAUCAUC